rnacentral:rRNA from 1 species
UACGGAGGAGGCUAGCGUUGUUCGGAAUUACUGGGCGUAAAGCGCACGUAGGCGGAUUAGUAAGUCAGGGGUGAAAUCCCGGGGCGCAACCUCGGAACUGCCUUUGAUACUGCUGAUCUCGAGUCCGGAAGAGGUGAGUGGAAGUCCUAGUGUAGAGGUGAAAUUCGUAGAUAUUAGGAAGAACACCAGUGGCGAAGGCGGCUCACUGGUCCGGUACUGACGCUGAGGUGCGAAAUCGUGGGGAGCAAACAGG